GACGUAGGUGGCAAGCGUUGUCCGGAAUCACUGGGCGUAAAGGGCGCGUAGGCGGUAUAUCAAGUCAAUUGUGAAAGACCCGGGCUUAACCCGGGAAGUGCAGUUGAAACUGGUAAACUUGAGUGCAGUAGAGGGAAGCGGAAUUCCUGGUGUAGCGGUGAAAUGCGUAGAGAUCAGGAGGAACACCGGUGGCGAAGGCGGCUUUCUAGGCUGCAACUGACGCUGAGGCGCGAAAGCGUGGGGAGCGAACAGGAUUAGAUACCCUGGUAGUCCACGCUGUAAACGAUGAAUACUAGGUGUGGGUAUCGCAGGAUAUCCGUGCCGCAGCUAACGCAAUAAGUAUUCCGCCUGGGGAGUACGGCCGCAAGGUUGAA
rnacentral:rRNA from 1 species